GGAAUAUUGCACAAUGGGCGAAAGCCUGAUGCAGCGACGCCGCGUGAGGGAUGACGGCCUUCGGGUUGUAAACCUCUUUCAGUAGGGAACAAGGCCAGCAUUUUUGUUGGUUGAGGGUACUUGCAGAAGAAGCGCCGGCUAACUACGUGCCAGCAGCCGCGGUAAUACGUAGGGCGCAAGCGUUAUCCGGAAUUAUUGGGCGUAAAGAGCUCGUAGGCGGUUUGUCGCGUCUGCCGUGAAAGUCCGGGGCUUAACUCCGGAUCUGCGGUGGGUACGGGCAGACUAGAGUGCAGUAGGGGAGACUGGAAUUCCUGGUGUAGCGGUGAAAUGCGCAGAUAUCAGGAGGAACACCGAUGGCGAAGGCAGGUCUCUGGGCUGUAACUGACGCUGAGGAGCGAAAGCAUGGGGAGCGAACAGGAUUAGAUACCCCUG
rnacentral:rRNA from 1 species